UACAGAGGUCUCAAGCGUUGUUCGGACUUACUGGGCGUAAAGGGUGCGCAGGCCGCGCGGGCAGUCAAAUGUGUAAUCCAGGGGCUCAACCCCUGAACUGCGCUUGAUACUUCCGCGCUCGAGCUUUGGAGAGGAGUCUGGAAUUCUCGGUGUAGCAGUGAAAUGCGUGGAUAUCGAGAAGAACACUUAGGGCGAAGGCAAGACUCUGGACAAAUGCUGACGCUCAUGCACGAAGGCUAGGGUAGCGAACGGG
rnacentral:rRNA from 1 species